CGAACCGUCCAAACGUUAUUCGGAAUCACUGGGCUUACAGAGUUCGUAGGCGGUCUGGAAAGUUGGGUGUGAAAUCCCUCGGCUCAACCGAGGAACUGCGCUUGAAACUACCAGACUCGAGGGGGAUAGAGGAAAGCGGAACUGAUGGUGGAGCGGUGAAAUGCGUUGAUAUCAUCAGGAACACCGGUGGCGAAGGCGGCUUUCUGGGUCUUACCUGACGCUGAGGAACGAAAGCCAGGGGAGCGAACGGGAUUAGAUACCCCGGUAGUCCUGGCCGUAAACGAUGAGCACUAGGUCGUGGGCCUCCACAGGCCCUCGGCCGUAGCGAAAGUGUUAAGUGCUCCGCCUGGGGAGUAUGGUCGCAAGGCUG
rnacentral:rRNA from 1 species